CGCGGCCUAUCAGCUUGUUGGUGGGGUGAUGGCCUACCAAGGCGACGACGGGUAGCCGGCCUGAGAGGGUGACCGGCCACACUGGGACUGAGACACGGCCCAGACUCCUACGGGAGGCAGCAGUGGGGAAUAUUGCACAAUGGGCGGAAGCCUGAUGCAGCGACGCCGCGUGGGGGAUGACGGCCUUCGGGUUGUAAACUCCUUUCAACCAUGACGAAGCUUUUGUGACGGUAGUGGUAGAAGAAGCACCGGCUAACUACGUGCCAGCAGCCGCGGUAAUACGUAGGGUGCGAGCGUUGUCCGGAAUUACUGGGCGUAAAGAGCUCGUAGGUGGUUUGUCGCGUCGUCUGUGAAAUUCCGGGGCUCAACUCCGGGCGUGCAGGCGAUACGGGCAUAACUUGAGUGCUGUAGGGGAGACUGGAAUUCCUGGUGUAGCGGUGAAAUGCGCAGAUAUCAGGAGGAACACCGAUGGCGAAGGCAGGUCUCUGGGCAGUAACUGACGCUGAGGAGCGAAAGCAUGGGUAGCGAACAGGAUUAGAUACCCUGGUAGUCCAUGCCGUAAACGGUGGGCGCUAGGUGUGGGGGUCUUCCACGACUUCUGUGCCGUAGCUAACGCAUUAAGCGCCCCGCCUGGGGAGUACGG
rnacentral:rRNA from 1 species